ensembl:lncRNA
GGACUGCAAGGGGCACUGAGGUUCAUGCCCACUGCAGCUGGAAGGGUGAAGGGAGGGGGCUGGCAGUGGGAGGAGGAGGGGCCAAACAUCCAGAAGGGCUCAGAGGAUGGACCGAGCACAUCCACAGCCUGGCUCCGGGAGCAAGCCCACUGGCCUGCCUGCCUUUUCUUUCCUUCCUUCCUCGGCAACAUGCAGUUCCCCAGAGCCAGGCUCUGUCUGCUCGUCAAGGGAGCUUCUCGUGGGAAAACCUCUUCAGCUGCCUUUCAUUUGUAGAGUUUAGGGUGACUGCAUCCUUCGUGGGCUUCGGCUAAUGCUGAGACAUCGUGGAUUUGAGAGUCCUUCAUCUUUCUUGCCAGAUGCUUGUUAAGGAUCUGUCGUGUGUCAGGCGCUGUGUGAAGUCCUGAGGACAGAGGUGGUUACAGGAUUCGCACUGUGGUCUGGAAGGGCAAAGGCAAGAAGAUGAACCGUGGUGGACAGGAUGGUACCGUGGAGAUGACCACGGGUGUUUGGAGGCAGAGUCACCAGCAUGACCUCGGGGCUUCUGUCACCCAGUGCCUUGACGCCUGGUCCACACAUGGACCUUGCUCAUUUCAUGUGCACACGCUCACUUUGUCCUUCCCCUCUGUGGGUUAUUUUGCAGUGAGUCUCAGGCAUGUAGCCUUCCGUGCACAAAGAUCUCAUUAUGUAUCUCUCUGUGACGGUGCCCUUUACAGACGUGAGCCCGGUAGUAUUAUCACACCUGGAAAAAGCAGUCCUUCCUGCAUAACACCUGUAACCCAGCAGGCGUUUAAAUUGCCUGGUUGGUCUCAUUAAAGGAAAAGCAAACUGUUGGUUUCAAUCAGGCUACAAACAAGACCAUGUAGUUGAACAAUCUUAAAAUUUCUUAAUAAAAGACUGCGACCGUUCUUAGAGUUUGUUCUGCAAUUCUGCAUUUGAGCUUUACUUGGUUGCCCGCCUCUGUCCCUGAUCUGCUGAAAUCAGUAGCUUUCCUAAGUUUCAUGGAAACAUUUGUAAGAUUUUGAGCAUCUUUAUCUGUCUUGCCUUUACAAGUGCCUGUAAAUAGUCAUUUAUUCCUUCUCUCUCUUUUCUUGGUACUAGGGAUCAAACUCAGGACCUUGCGCUUGCAAGGCGGGCAGCAGCACCACUGAGCUAAAUCCCCAGCCCUCCCUCUUGAUAAGUAUUUCUUUUUCUCUCUUGUAAUACUUGAGAUUGAAUGCAGGGCCUUUGCCCUGAGCUGUAUCUCCAGUCCUUUUUAAAAUUUUUAUUUCAAGACAGGGUAAUUUCUAAGCUGCCCAGGCUGGGCUCAGACUUUCAAUCCUCCUGCUUCAGCCUCCCAGGGUGUUGGGCUUAUAGGUGUGUGACCCCCUGCCCAGACAGGCACCAAAUCAG